AUUGAACGCUGGCGGAAUGCUUUACACAUGCAAGUCGAACGGCAGCACGGACUUCGGUCUGGUGGCGAGUGGCGAACGGGUGAGUAAUGUAUCGGAACGUGCCCAGUCGUGGGGGAUAACCUAGUGAAAAUUACGCUAAUACCGCAUACGAUCUAUGGAUGAAAGCGGGGGAUCGCAAGACCUCGCGCGAUUGGAGCGGCCGAUAUCAGAUUAGGUAGUUGGUGGGGUAAAGGCCCACCAAGCCAACGAUCUAUAGCUGGUCUGAGAGGACGACCAGCCACACUGGAACUGAGACACGGUCCAGACUCCUACGGGAGGCAGCAGUGGGGAAUUUUGGACAAUGGGCGAAAGCCUGAUCCAGCCAUUCCGCGUGCAGGAUGAAGGCCCUCGGGUUGUAAACUGCUUUUGUACAGAACGAAAAGGUUUCUACUAAUACUAGGAGCUCAUGACGGUACUGUAAGAAUAAGCACCGGCUAACUACGUGCCAGCCGCCGCGGUAA
rnacentral:rRNA from 1 species